GGAAUAUUGGUCAAUGGGCGCAAGCCUGAACCAGCCAUGCCGCGUGCAGGAUGAAGCAUCUAUGGUGUGUAAACUGCUUUUAUACAGGAAGAAACACUCCCUCGUGAGGGAGCUUGACGGCACUGUAGGAAUAAGGAUCGGCUAACUCCGUGCCAGCAGCCGCGGUAAUACGGAGGAUCCAAGCGUUAUCCGGAAUCAUUGGGUUUAAAGGGUCCGUAGGCGGCCCUGUAAGUCAGUGGUGAAAUCUCCCCGCUCAACGGGGAAACGGCCAUUGAUACUGCAGGGCUUGAAUUAUUGGGAAGUAACUAGAAUAUGUAGUGUAGCGGUGAAAUGCUUAGAUAUUACAUGGAAUACCGAUUGCGAAGGCAGGUUACUACCAAUACAUUGACGCUGAUGGACGAAAGCGUGGGUAGCGAACAGGAUUAGAUACCCUAG
rnacentral:rRNA from 1 species